rnacentral:rRNA from 1 species
UACGUAGGGAGCAAGCGUUGUUCGGAUUUACUGGGCGUAAAGGGCGCGUAGGCGGCAAAUUAAGUCAGCUGUGAAAUCUCCGAGCUUAACUCGGAACGGUCAGCUGAUACUGAUCUGCUAGAGUGCGGAAGGGGCAAUCGGAAUUCUUGGUGUAGCGGUGAAAUGCGUAGAUAUCAAGAGGAACACCUGUGGUGAAGACGGGUUGCUGGGCCGACACUGACGCUGAGUGCGCGAAAGCCAGGGGAGCAAACGGG